rnacentral:ncRNA from 1 species
AAAAUAAAAAAUUUCCUCAUAUAUCCCUAGAAAUAUGGUCUAGGAGUCUCUACCAAGCAACCGUAAAUUGUUUGACUAUGGGUGAAAAUACUC